AUCAAACAGAACCUUCUUGAAUCUUCAUUUGAAGAUUCGAGCCCAGAUUCAACUCACACAAAUCACCCCAAAUCAAUACCAAGCACUCCCCUAACAUAUCUCGUACCUAAACCAACAAGGUUUUGAUUCGAAUCUGACCUGAAAAUGUCGAACCCUAAAAGUGACUGUAUGAACCCUAGAAAAUUCAAGGUUUUGAGUCUGGCCAGUUAAGUGGAAAUUGGGGUCCAAAGGAC
rnacentral:lncRNA from 1 species